CAAGGGUUAAUAAAUAACCCUAACCAUCCUCUUCUCAUUUCCUACACCUUAUCCUCUCCUUUUCUCCGCCACAGCGGUUGUUUUAUCUCAACUUUUCUUUCUUUCUUUCUUAGAUCUACUAAAAUCCCUUCAUUUAAUUCCUAAUUAUAAUCUCAUAAGCAGAUAGAUCGGUUCCCGAUCUACAAUUUGAGCAUGAUUUCACCAUUCGUUCGCCGGAGACCAUUCUGUUACGAUUUAUGGAUUCUUGCCGGUAAUUAAUUCCGAUGAGAAUUGUAUAAUCAGAUAGUUCGGUCUCCGGAUAACGUUUAGAUUAUUAGAUUGUCAUGCUCUAUCGAUUCGUUCGCCGCCGUUAAAUUUUGCUACAUCGGAAUAGAACAUUUCUAUCCGCAAAUUCAUGUGGUUGAGUCUGUGAUGCAUCUAUGAUGACGUAUGAUGUGUAACGAACUCUGCUAUCAGCGAUGAGUAUUGAUCUCAGAAGUCCGAUAUAUAAGGGAGGUGGUUUUGGUGAAAAAAAAGGAUAAAGUGGUUGACGAUUGUUUAAAUUGAUGGUAAGCGUGGUAUCAUAUGUAGAUGUAAAAAAGUGUUAUAUAUCUCUCGAUGUGUGUGAGAGAGAUUCAAUCUGUGUGGCUCUGUGUGAGAAGGUAUUUAAAUUUGGAUGUGUUUUGUGUGAGUAUAGUGUAGGAAGGCCUUUGCCAUGUCAGGUGCGCUUGCUUGGCAGGCCAAACACAAAAAAAUAAGUAUAAUAAAAAAGAGUGAUUUUUUGGUGUGUUUGAUGAAGGGCGAGAUGGCACGGGGGUUUGUUUGCCCGGCUCUCUCCCUCAUCACUUCGUCUCGUCUUCUUUUUCUUCUUCUCUCUCUCUCUCUCUCUCUCUCUCUGUUCUUUAUAAAACAUCAGAAUUUAAAACGCUUGUAGAGUAUAGUCCAGAAAAAAUGAUUCAACAGCAACGCAGCAGUAUCAGGAGAUUUCCAAAACGACAUCAGUCAAUAAAAUUCAAGGUAUCAACACCAUCCAUUAUUAUCCAUGCAAUAUUUUAAACAGCUUUUGACAAUUACGCAUCUGUGACAACUACAUAUAUGCAAUCACAUGAAUCGGGUAUGUUCAUCUAUCAGUGUUAUUUCAUUAUUUCAUACAAGUCUUUAUUCCAUUUAUAUAUAUUUGUAUUAUUCUUUAGUUAUAUAACUAUUACUACCGAACAUUUAUGUCAGUUAUAAUUACGUUAUGCGCCUUGUAAAGUAUAUAACUCGAAACAAUUUACAAUGAAUAUGUUGUACGCGAGCAACUUUCCAUUUGUAUAGUUCUGCUAGUAUUAUGCCCUUGGUUUCCUGAUUUUGUAAUAUUAGUUGUAAUAAUUUAUAAACGUGCGUAACAUGGUUUGUGAUAAAUGCGUUAGGCUUGAUGUAUGUUCAUUUGUAAGGAGAGAUCGUUGUAAAUUUUGAAAUUAUUGUUAUUAAAUUGAUGUGUAGCUCAAACUUUUUGUAUGGACAAAUUUAACAACACUAGCUUGGAUAACCGAAGCAGCUCUGGUGGUGGAUGACUACAACGAUGGUUUGUGUAGGUACAUCUAAUUUUAUAUACCUUACGCCCUAGUUUAUCAAUUCGUAGGAGUUCUACUACUUUGUGUAUGUUGAUUUUCAUUUGUGGUGUUUUUUUUUUUGUGCACCCUCGUUUUACUAGUUUAUCGUAUUAUAUUUUUAGAUGUACGAUUAAAGAGACCAAAGCAUGUUUAUUACGAGUAGAAAGUAGAAUCGAGUUCAUGUUAAUUUCA